CCUACGGGAGGCAGCAGUCGGGAAUUUUGGGCAAUGGGCGCAAGCCUGACCCAGCAACGCCGCGUGAGCGAUGAAGGCCUUCGGGUCGUAAAGCUCUGUCGAGAGGGAAGAAUGUUCUCGGGGUGAACAAUCCCGGGGAAGCGACGGUACCUCUAAAGGAAGCGCCGGCUAACUCCGUGCCAGCAGCCGCGGUAAUACAGAGGGUGCAAGCGUUGUUCGGAAUUAUUGGGCGUAAAGGGCGCGUAGGCGGUGCGGUAAGACUGUGGUGAAAUCUCCGGGCUCAACUCGGAAAUUGCCGCGGUGACUGCCGUGCUGGAGUGUGGGAGAGGUGAGUGGAAUUCCCGGUGUAGCGGUGAAAUGCGUAGAUAUCGGGAGGAGCACCUGUGGCGAAAGCGGCUCACUGGACCACAACUGACGCUGAGGCGCGAAAGCUAGGGGAGCAAACAGGAUUAGAUACCCUGGUAGUCCUAGCCCUAAACGAUGAUGGCUUGGUGUGUCGGGUACCCAAUCCCGACGUGCCGCAGCUAACGCGAUAAGCCAUCCGCCUGGGGAGUACGGUCGCAAGACUGAAACUCAAAGGAAUUGACGG
rnacentral:rRNA from 1 species